CUACGGGAGGCUGCAGUGGGGAAUAUUGCACAAUGGGGGAAACCCUGAUGCAGCAACGCCGCGUGGAGGAUGACGCAUUUCGGUGUGUAAACUCCUUUUAUUUAGGAAGAAAUUUGACGGUACUAAAUGAAUAAGCACCGGCUAACUCCGUGCCAGCAGCCGCGGUAAUACGGAGGGUGCAAGCGUUACUCGGAAUCACUGGGCGUAAAGGACGCGUAGGCGGUUUGAUAAGUUGGAUGUGAAAUCCUAUGGCUUAACCAUAGAACUGCAUCCAAAACUGUCAGACUAGAGUGAGGGAGAGGUGAAUGGAAUUAGUGGUGUAGGGGUAAAAUCCGUAGAGAUCACUAGGAAUACUCAUAGCGAAGGCGAUUCACUGGAACUUUACUGACGCUGAGGCGUGAAAGCAUGGGGAGCAAACAGGAUUAGAUACCCGCGUAGUC
rnacentral:rRNA from 1 species